CGUAUGGUGCAAGCGUUAUCCGGAUUUACUGGGUGUAAAGGGAGCGUAGACGGAUGGGGCAAGUCUGAUGUGAAAACCCGGGGCUCAACCCCGGGACUGCAUUGGAAACUGUUCAUCUAGAGUGCUGGAGAGGUAAGUGGAAUUCCUAGUGUAGCGGUGAAAUGCGUAGAUAUUAGGAGGAACACCAGUGGCGAAGGCGGCUUACUGGACAGUAACUGACGUUGAGGCUCGAAAGCGUGGGGAGCAAACAGGAUU
rnacentral:rRNA from 1 species